rnacentral:rRNA from 1 species
GAGCUUGCUUCAAUUGCCGGCGACCGGCGCACGGGUGAGUAACGCGUAUCCAACCUUCCGCUUACUCGGGGAUAGCCUUUCGAAAGAAAGAUUAAUACCCGAUGGUAUCUUAAGCACGCAUGAGAUUAAGAUUAAAGAUUUAUCGGUAAGCGAUGGGGAUGCGUUCCAUUAGGCAGUUGGCGGGGUAACGGCCCACCAAACCUACGAUGGAUAGGGGUUCUGAGAGGAAGGUCCCCACAUUGGAACUGAGACACGGUCCAAACUCCUACGGGAGGCAGCAGUGAGGAAUAUUGGUCAAUGGGCGAGAGCCUGAACCAGCCAAGUAGCGUGAAGGAUGACGGCCCUACGGGUUGUAAACUUCUUUUGUGCGGGAAUAAAGGAACCUACGUGUAGGUUUUUGCAUGUACCGUAACGAAUAAGCAUCGGCUAACUCCGUGCCAGCAGCCGCGGUAAUACGGAGGAUGCGAGCGUUAUCCGGAUUUAUUGGGUUUAAAGGGAGCGUAGACGGGUUUUUAAGUCAGCUGUGAAAGUUUGGGGCUCAACCUUAAAAUUGCAGUUGAAACUGGAGACCUUGAGUACGGUUGAGGCAGGCGGAAUUCGUGGUGUAGCGGUGAAAUGCUUAGAUAUCACGAAGAACUCCGAUUG